UUCCGGUUGAUCCUGCCGGACCUUACUGCUAUCGGGGUGGGACUAAGACAUGCGAGUCGAGCGUCUCUAGCUAUGUUGAGACGCGGCAUACGGCUCAGUAACACGUGGCUAACCUACCCUCAGGACAAGGAUAACCCCGGGAAACUGGGGCUAAUACUUGAUAGGCGAAGAUGCCUGGAAUGGUUCUUCACUCAAAGGGCUUUAGAAACAUGCUUUUAAAGUCGCCUGGGGAUGGGGCCGCGACCGAUCAGGUUGUUGGUGAGGUAAUGGCUCACCAAGCCUAUAACCGGUACGGGCCGUGAGAGCGGUAGCCCGGAGAUGGGUACUGAGACAAGGACCCAGGCCCUACGGGGCGCAGCAGUCGCGAAACCUCCGCAAUGCACGAAAGUGUGACGGGGCUACCCCGAGUGCCUUCCGCUGAGGAUGGCUUUUCCUUGGUAUAACUAGCCGAGGGAAUAAGGAGAGGGCAAGACUGGUGUCAGCCGCCGCGGUAAUACCAGCUCUCCGAGUGGUAGGGAUGAUUAUUGGGCUUAAAGCGUCCGUAGCCUGCUUAGCAAGUCUCCUGUUAAAUUCAACGACCUAAUCGUUGAGCCGCGGGAGAUACUACUAGGCUAGGAGGCGGGAGAGGUCGACGGUACUUCUGGGGUAGGGGUGAAAUCCUAUAAUCCCAGGAGGACCACCAGUGGCGAAAGCUGUCGACUAGAACGCGCUCGACGGUGAGGGACGAAAGCUGGGGGAGCGACCCGAUUAGAUACCCGGGUAGUCCCAGCCGUAAACGAUGCGGGCUAGUGUUGAGUGGCUACGGCCACUUCAGUGCCCGCAGGAAACCGUUAAC
rnacentral:rRNA from 1 species